rnacentral:rRNA from 1 species
AAGUGGCGCACGGGUGAGUAACGCGUAGGAACAUACCUUGUUUUGGGGGAUAACACCGGGAAACUGGUGCUAAUACCGCAUAAGAUUCAAGUUGAAAUACUUGUCUUUAAAGCUCCGGCGAAACAAGAUUGGCCUGCGUUGGAUUAGCUUGUUGGUAGGGUAAUGGCCUACCAAGGCGACGAUCCAUAGCUGGUUUGAGAAGAUGAUCAGCCACAGUGGAACUGAGACACGGUCCAC